UACGGAAGGCAGCAGUGGGGAAUAUUGCACAAUGGGCGCAAGCCUGAUGCAGCCAUGCCGCGUGUAUGAAGAAGGCCUUCGGGUUGUAAAGUACUUUCAGUCGUGAGGAAGGUGUUAAGGUUAAUAACCUUAGCAAUUGACGUUAGCGACAGAAGAAGCACCGGCUAACUCCGUGCCAGCAGCCGCGGUAAUACGGAGGGUGCGAGCGUUAAUCGGAAUUACUGGGCGUAAAGGGCACGCAGGCGGUUAAUUAAGUUGGAUGUGAAAUCCCCGGGCUUAACCUGGGAAUGGCAUUCAAGCUGGUUAGCUAGAGUCUUGUAGAGGGGGUAGAAUUCCAUGUGUAGCGGUGAAAUGCGUAGAGAUGUGGAGGAAUACCGGUGGCGAAGGCGGCCCCUGGACAAAGACUGACGCUCAUGUGCGAAAGCGUGGGGAGCG
rnacentral:rRNA from 1 species